rnacentral:rRNA from 1 species
GACGAACGCUGGCGGCGUGCUUAACACACGCAAGUGGAGCGACGAACCAGGGCUUGCCCUGGGGCAGAGCCGCGAACGGGUGAGUAACACGUGGGUAACGUGCCCCGAUGACUGGGACAACCCGGGGAAACCCGGGCUAAUACCGGAUGUGCCCCCCCACAUCAGGGAGGGGUGUAAAGGAAGCGUCGGCCCCCGAAUCGGGAUCGGCCCGCGGCCCAUUAGCGUGUUGGUGAGGUAACGGCUCACCAAGGCUGCGAUGGGUAGCUGGUCUGAGAGGACGAUCAGCCACACUGGGACUGAGACACGGCCCAGACUCCUACGGGAGGCAGCAGUGGGGAAUCUUGCGCAAUGCGCGAAAGCGUGACGCAGCAACGCCGCGUGGGGGAAGACGGCCUUCGGGUUGUAAACCCCUUUCAGUUGGGACGAAGGUCGGGCGGUUAACAGCCGUUCCGGCUGACGGUACCUUCACAAGAAGCCCCGGCUAACUACGUG